CUAGCCCAGAGAGGUAAACUCCUGAUGAGCACCAGUGUCAUAGAUACAAGAAUGGCACCGAGAACUAAGAUGAUUUUAAUGGCUGGAAAGAGAUUCAUGAAUGAAACCGGGGAUGCAGUAAAGAGGUUCUCUGACCAAUUAUCCGCCACCUCCCUCAUGACCUGGUAAAAUAGACUGACUCUCGAUAGGUUACGGGCAAAGAGGGCGGUAUAGGUAGAAUGAUUAAGUUCAUUACUGUACGUACAUUUGAUAACACAGCUCAUCUUUGGGAAAUGGAAAAGUGUUGCAAGAACUGUAUUAUGGGCUGCUUUCACCUGUAUGAGUGUCUUUGGGUUGUGUGGUUGUUGUUUGGUCCCGUGUGCGAGAGGUUUAAUCACCAGAACUCUAGAGAGAUGGAUAACGGAGCAGAUGGUGAGCUACGGACCGAGUCAAAGUUCAGACCAAUGAGACAAGUACCUACCGCCGAGCAAGGUGGAGGAUUCAUUCAAAUAUGAGGAGCACAUGUUAGAUGAGAC
rnacentral:lncRNA from 1 species